rnacentral:rRNA from 1 species
UAGCGGAGGAUCCAAGCGUUAUCCGGAUUCAUUGGGUUUAAAGGGUGCGUAGGCGGAAUGAUAAGUUCAGUGGUGAAAUCCUGCAGCUUAACUGCAGAACUGCCAUUGAUACUGUCAAUCUUGAGUACAUUUGAUGUGGGCGGAAUGUGUCAUGUAGCGGUGAAAUGCUUAGAUAUGACACAGAACACCGAUUGCGAAGGCAGCUCACAAAACUGUAACUGACGCUGAGGCACGAAAGCGUGGGUAUCAAACAGG